AUGGAUGGUGAGUGUAGCAGGGGUGAUAACCAGGAGAGCAUAUUAAACCAUCAAACUUCAGAACCACGCUAUAUGACAUACGAAUAUUUGGAAAGCAUCACAAAUGUCUUCUCCGAGGAGCACAUAAUUGGCCGUGGUUCUUAUGGUGUUGUAUACAAGGGAGUAGAAGAUGGGAAAACAAUCGCUGUGAAGAAGUUUAAGCCCUUGUUCGACGAGAAGAAAUUUAUGAAAGAGGUUAAUUAUCUUAAAAUGCUUAACCACAAGAACAUAGUGCCUUAUAUAGGCUACUGCAAUGAAAACCCAAAAAUAAAACAAAUGUUCAAUGGGGAAUUGGUUUUAGUGGAGGAGCCACAUAUGUUGCUUUGCAUGGAGUAUCUCCCUAACAGAAGCCUGAGAGAUUAUAUUGCUGAUAAAUCUUCCAGACUUGAUUGGCGGAAGUGGUACACAAUAAUUGAGGGUAUUUCCCAGGGAUUAAAUUACCUUCUUGGGCAAGAUCCACCGGUAACUCACCUGGACCUAAAACCAGAAAACAUAUUGCUAGAUGAUAAUAUGGAACCAAAAGUUGCGGACUUUGGUUUGUCAAGACUGCUGUACGAAAACAAUACUAUCGAGACUGUGAACUUCGCUGGAACACUAGGUUACAUGCCACCAGAACGCAUACACGAAAACAAAAUUUCAACCAGGUUUGACAUAUUCAGUUUUGGUGUAAUAAUUCUGGAGAUAAUAAUAGGAGACAGAAAUUACCCAGCUGUUAAUGAGACGCCUUUCGAUGACUUCAUCGAAAUGCAACUUCAAAAAUGGGGAGAAAAAAAGAUGAAUAAACAGGACAAUACUUCUUUCAAAAUUGACUGCCAGCAGAUAAGAAGAUGCAUUCGUAUAGGUCUACUAUGUGUGCAACCAGACAGGAAAAAGAGGCCUGAAAUCAAGGAUAUUAUCCAGAUGCUUCGUGAUUAUCUUGAUGAGGAUAUAUCCGUACCAAAGGAGUUGAUUGUGGUCGAACCACGAGAGCUCCGGUUUUGCUUGGAGCCUAACAAGCGCAUUCGUUGCCUCGUGAAUAUAACUAACUGCACACAUCAGCAUGUCAGGUUUCACUGUAGGGUGAAGAAGGCGGCAAGCAACCACUACUCCUUCGAACCAGAGAAAGGCACCCUCUGUCCUUUUAGCAUAUUAACUGUAUCAUUUGUAAUUGAAGAGCUCGGGGAGUUACCAUUGGACUUCAAGUGCCAUGAUCAACUACUCGUGACGAGCACCGAGAUGCCUGACGACAAGCCCUUUCCAACCAGUAUGAGAUACAAAGUUGACUUGACAGUUGUUUAUGAGCGACCAGUUCGUCCAGUCGAACCGCCUUUGGUACCACGUGCGGGUUUUCCGGAAAACCAAUACAUGGAUAUAUUGAUUAACUGCAUACGUCAGAAUCUGGGAUUCUUCAAUGGUAGGCCUAUUGCAGCUUGUGUUGUCUACAGGUGCCUAUUACAAUGGAAAUCAUUCGAAGCGGAAAGAACUGAUCAUUUCGAUCGUAUUAUGACCUGUAUGCAUAGUGCAGUAUAUGACCAAGGCUAUAGCGAGUUGGCAUAUUGGCUCUCCAAUUCAUGCACAUUACUCGUGCUUAUGCAACGAACAUUCGAAACAGCACCAACAACUAUAUUUGGUCCUCGGAGACGUUUGAAAUUUGUUGAACUAGUCAAGAGGAUAAUUGAGGAACUGAAGGGAAAUCCAGGUUUCCGUAAUACCCACUUGAUUGAAGAAUUGAGUGGCCAUAAAGCCCGACGUCCUGCUAUGCUUUUCAAAGGGCACCUUACAUCUUUCCUUGAGAAGGUCUAUGAAAUGAUGAUGGGCCAUCUGACACAAGAGCUGCGGCAGUUGUUUUUUUGUAGCAUCACGGAACCGACAAUAUUUCAAACUUUGUUUGACCAUUGGCAGGUCAUUGAGCAAAUAUUAACCAAGUACUCUACCGUUUUGAAAUCCAAUUAUGUUCCUCCAUUCUUAAUCAGCAAAUUCUUCACACAAGUCUUUUCACAUAUUAAUGCCCAGCUGUUCAAUAUUUUGCUUCGCCAAAAGAAAUGCUAUUAUUCUAGCAACGCAAAAUAUGUGAAAGCUGGAUUGGAAAGAUUAAAAGUUUGGUGCAGUUCUCAGACUGAAGAGUAUGCAGGUUCUUCGUGGGAACAAUUGAGGCAUAUUAGGGAGGCUGUCCUAUUCCUCGUUGUUGAUGGAAAGUCAAAGAAAACUCUGACAGACAUCAGUAAUUUGUGCCCUGUGCUGACUGAACCACAUCUGUAUCAAACCAUCACAAUGCAUUGGGCUAACACAGAUAGCAGAAAUACUGUUUCACCGGAGGUUUAUUCGUUUGCUGCAUUGUCUAAAAAACGCAUGAUAUUUGAGCAUGCAUCGAUGGAAGAUUCUAGGGAGGCAUCGAUGGAGGAUUAUAAGAAUACAUCGACUGAAGAUUCGAAGAAUAAAUUUAUGGAAGAUUCUAAGAAUGUAUCGAUGGAAGCUUCAGAGAAAGAAAGGUUGAAAUACGAAAAAGAAUUGGAUAGUUGGAUCACAUCCAUAUCUUUGUUGGAGCCACCAAGCAUUCCAUUUUCUGUGGAUGAUAUCUCCAAGUCAUUGGUUACAUUUGCGGACACAAAUGUUGAUGUGCCAGCUCAGAUCCGUAAUAACCCUUGCUUCAACUUCCUACACGAAAGAACAGACUAG
rnacentral:rRNA from 1 species